rfam:Ipomoea nil DNA, scaffold: scaffold3065, cultivar: Tokyo-kokei standard.
GCUGGAAUAGCUCAGUUGGUUAGAGCGUGUAGCUGUUAACUACAAAGUCAGAGGUUUAAGCCCUCUUUCUAGCG